GCAGAUUCCCGGCCCAUGGCGGCCCGUUCAACGCCGCAAACAAGCGGCUGCCUCGCCCAGGCGAUUUUUCGUUCCGACCGGCGGCUCAUCCAUCUCCCGUGCUCCUCCUCGCAGACGGCGACAGCGCUCGCUCCGCCUCCCUCUCGCCAGGGGCGGCGACGGCGGCUGCCUCUCCAAGCCCCCAGACCACCAUUUGUUGGUUCCCCCAUUCUUCGCCCUGCACUCCGGUUCACAGUUUCAUUUGUCAAGAUGUCACAAACGAAGGAAGUGAGAUACACUGCACGGUCUAUUACACCUCCUGCAGAUAGAAAUGGAACUUCAAGCUCGCCUCCUCCAAAGAGACGCAGCCCUUCAAGGUCGCCUCCUCCAAAGAGUAACUCAAGGUCUCCACGUCCAAGAAGUCCUAAGCGACGGAGCACCUCAAGGUCACCUCCUCCUAGGAGACGUGGUAGAUCGAGGUCCAGGUCAAGGGAUAGGAGUCGAUCCAGGAGCGAAGAUGAUAGAAAUCCAGGGAAUAACCUUUAUGUGACUGGAUUGUCUGCUCGUGUAACUGAAGAUGAUCUUGAGAAGUUUUUUAGUAAAGAAGGAAAGGUUAAAAACUGUCAUGUUGUUCUUGAUCCUCGCACAAAAGAAUCCCGUGGCUUUGCCUUUGUGACCAUGGAUACUGUUGAAGAUGCAAGACGCUGCAUCAAGUACCUGCACCGCACUGUACUUGAAGGUCGUCUGGUCACUGUAGAGAAGUUUAACAUGGUGCUGGGCUGCCUCGACGUCAACCUGGUUGGUUCAGGCUGUGCUGUCUUCGACCAGGGUUGUCGCCAAGGGAUGUGCAGCUGAUGUGGUGGUGCUUAUCACCAACCCCAGAGCUCAUCUUCACCGCUUGUCGUCUACACCUUCCUCACCGACAUUGCAUACCCACUACAUCAACGCGAGGGCUGCCACCAUAGAGCUACCUUGGAGUUUUGUUGUGCAUUGUGCCAGCAUCACCGCCAGCACGAUUGCCACCUCCACGAUCGCCACCGCCACUGCAUCCGCCACCACGACCACAACUGCCAUCAUCAACGUCGCCGCAUGAUCCAACAGGCUCCAUGGUUUGUCUACAUCAACUGAGAUUACAUGAUGCAUGCUGCUGCCAUGUCAUGACACCAACUGCCGAGCUAGCCUGCAUCGAUGCUAUCUUCGUCCACAACAUGAUCCUGAUUUAAUGGAGGUCACAAGAGGCAUAAUCUGGCUCUUCCUUGGAGAAAGACUACACCCACCACGGGAAAGUGCAAAAAAGUGUCAUCUUUGGUUGAGCUACGUAAAGUAAUUCAUCUACUUGCAUAAAAAGAAUUCUGACCGAGACAUGACAAGCUUAAUGAUCCAUCACUAUCUGUUUUUCAGCAAAGGGCCAUAACUCUUAGUUUCUUUAUCUAUUCCUUUAACCAGUCUAUUUUAUGUUAAUAUAUUGAGUAUUUCACUUCACAAAUUGUUUGGCGUACUUGAAGUUCACUGCUUGUUUCAUUAUGGAAGGUAACACAUGUUCGUGAUGUCCAUUCAGGCUAAAAGGACUCGAGAAAGGACCCCUACUCCUGGAAAAUACUGUGGUCGAAGAGGAGGUUCUCAAAGGCGCUCUAGGAGCCCAUCACCAUACCGUUCUCGCAGACGGGAGCGAUCCCGUUCGAGGGACCGUAAAAGGGAGCGGUCUCGCUCAAGGGAUCGGAGGGAGCGGUCUCGCUCAAGGGAUCGCCGAAGGGAUAGGUCUCGCUCAAGGGACCGAAGGGACCGGUCUCGCUCAAGGGACCGCCGAAGGGACCGGUCUCGCUCAAGGGAUCGCAGGAGGGAGCGCUCACGCUCAAGGGACUCAAGAAGGCGUGGAGAUCGAUCCAGGUCACCGGUUGGCAAUGGGAACCAUAAGGCAGACUAGAAAGCACUUACCUUGUGAUGAAACUUCUCUUCAGGCUAGCCGUGACUGCGUGAACAAUUGAACUUGUGAUCUUUAAGGUGGUCAGUGUCAGACUGUUGGUUUGUUGUAGCAGUGUUUCUGUGUUGGUUUGUUUGUUUUUUCCUGUUACCAUGGUAUCUUUUGGAUCAGAUAAUACUGUUAUAUGGUCGGGGUGCGGGUGCGAACACUCCAGAAUUCCUAAGAUAUUCUUCAAAGUUUGCUUAAGAUCGUCAUGUUGUGUA